GGUUUUUAGAAUAUAAUUUAAGAUCUAAUCUGCCCAGUGAUUUAAUUAUUGAAGGGCCGCAGUAAAUUGACUGUGCGAAGGUAGCAUAAUCAAUAGUUUUUUAAUUGAAAGCUUGUAUGAAUGAUUGGACGAGAUAAAAUCUGUCUUUAAUUAAUUUAAAAUAGAAUUUAAUUUUUGAGUUAAAAAGCUUAAAUUUUUUUAAAAGACGAGAAGACCCUAUAGAUCUUUAUAAUUAUUUAUUAAAGUUAUUUUAUUGAAAAUUUUAAUAUAUUAUUAAGUUAAUUAUUUUAUUGGGGUAAUAUAAAGAUUUAAAUAAUUCUUUAUUAAUUAUUACAUUUAUGUAUGAUUAUAUGAUCCUUUAUUAUGGAUUAUAAGAUUAAGUUACCUUAGGGAUAACAGCGUAAUUUUUUUUUAGAGUUCAUAUCGAUAAAAAAGUUUGCGACCUCGAUGUUGGAUUAAAAUUUAUCUUAGGAGCAGAAUUUUAAGAUUUUGGUCUGUUCGACCAUUGAAAUUUU
rnacentral:rRNA from 1 species